rnacentral:rRNA from 1 species
UGAGCGAAAUUCCUUGUCGGGUAAGUUCCGACCUGCACGAAUGGCGUAACGACUUGGCCGCUGUCUCCGCGAGAGACCCGGUGAAACUGUAGCGCCAGUGAAGAUGCUGGCUACCCGCGACUAGACGGAAAGACCCCGUGAACCUUUACUAUACCCUGGUAUGGAGUUUUGGCGGAGUCCGUGCAGGAUAGGUGGGAGGCUAUGAAGCCGGAGCGCUAGCUUCGGUGGAGCCGUCGUUGAGAUACCACCCUGACUGUGCUGGAAUUCUAACCUGGGCCCAUAAGCUGGGUCGGGGACAGUGCCAGGCGGGUAGUUUGACUGGGGCGGUCGCCUCCCAAACAGUAACGGAGGCGCUCGAAGGUGGGCUCAGCACGGUUGGAAAUCGUGCGUCGAGUGUAAGGGCAGAAGCCCGCUUAACUGCGAGACUGACAAGUCGAGCAGGUGCGAAAGCAGGACCUAGUGAUCCGGUGGCUCCGAGUGGAAGGGCCAUCGCUCAACGGAUAAAAGGUACUCCGGGGAUAACAGGCUGAUCUUGCCCAAGAGUUCACAUCGACGGCAAGGUUUGGCACCUCGAUGUCGGCUCAUCGCAUCCUGGGGCUGGAGCAGGUCCCAAGGGU